rnacentral:tRNA from 1 species
UCCCUUGUAGCUCAGUCGGUAAAGAAUCUGCCUGCAGUGCAGAAGACCAGGGUUCAAUCCCUGGGUUGGAA